ensembl:snRNA U6 U6 spliceosomal RNA
GUGCUUGCAUCUUGUGCACAUAUACUAAAACUUCGAUGAUACAAAGAUUAGCAUGGCCCCUACCGAGGUUGACACACAAACUCAUGAAGUGUUCUACAUUUAA